GUUUUACGUUUCGGUGGACUUUUCUUAGCGGAUGUACAAUCAACGCGAAUUAAAUUAUGGGGGGGUUUCAGGCCCGCCCGAAGUGAACAUAAUUGUACACUUCCCUUGUUUGGACCGACGUCCAAGAUGGUGACGGGGAUUCCCCCAAGGGCAUAAGGCGAGGGUGCAGAAUGCCGUGUAUGGAGGAUUGACAGGGGUGUACAGAUGAGAAAUGCCAGUGGAAUUUGGGGACACAGUGGAAUUUAGCUCCAAAAAGGUUGAGCGAGAUCUUUUGAGUUCUCUGACAGCACCCCAGCCUCUUCUCCAUCUCUACCUGCAACCCCUGCGUACCACUCCCACAACGUACUUAAGAAGAGUUUGGAAGGGGCCAAUGUUCCACUUGGAGCCUUCUGCACAAGUGCAUCAAAGCUAAACCAAACAGUCAUCAUGUUCCAACAGCAGCCACACAGUGAACACGGCAUCAACACAGUAUCAGAAAUGCUUGUAAUUUUAUGACUUUUAUGUUAAGCUGGAGGAGUGUAAAUGUGCCAGCUUGGAUGAGGUUACCAAAGCACAGAGUGCCUCCUAUGCAUGGUAUGGCACACUUAAAUUUCAGAUCACUGCAAGCUCAGUAAAGAAUGUUCCUGUGCGCACCUCAACAAAUCAUGACCACUUUGUGCAGGAGCAUCUCUCCCCCAGGUUCCAUGGAAACUCAGAAACCACAUAUGGCAAGAAAAACGAACAGGUGGCCUACACAUGGAUGGAGAGCUGUGGGUUUAGUUUGGAGUGUAGAGGCACAGUAGUGUGUCAAGGAGCCAUGUCUUUCUGCAAGCCCACAGAUGGAGUGUUAAACUCUCAAGAACUUCUAGAAAUUAAAAUGUUCUGUUCUGAGUGAAGUGUGAGUCUCUGGCAAACUCCUCGACGUGAAGCUGGUGGAUGGAGUUCCUCAGCUGCAACAUAAUGGAGCCUGUGGUUACUACGUGCAGGAGCAAUUGGGCAUGUUCUGCACAGGACUGGAGAUAUGCAAACUGUUGUCUGGGCUCUGUCCGAGCUGGUUGUUAUUGAUGUGCCUAUUGAUGUGAAGUUCUGUGCUGAUGUUAUCCCUAAACUGAAGGCAUUCUAUUUCCUACAUAUGCUGCCAAGGGUAGUAUAUGAGUUCCAGUUAGGCAGACUGUGCUCAAAAUAUGUUAAUCUAUGUGGUUUCUAGGCUAAUACUUUGUUUUGAAAUAGUUAUUAUAUUUUGUGCCUUGUAAAUAUCUCUCUGUUAGCUCUACCUUAUUAUCUAGGCAUAACUCUUGGUGUUUUUUGUUGUCUUGCACAGUUCUCUUCAUAUGCACAUUUACCUGAUUUAUAUUUGCAUAAUUCUUCUUGGUGUUUUUUAUGUCUUGCCUUGUACAGCUCUCUUCGUACAUGUUUAUCUAAUGCUUAAGGAUAACUCCUUAUGAUUUAUGAAUAUAUUAAUUGUACCUUGUA